rnacentral:misc_RNA from 1 species
UGAUCCCCAACAACUGGGCAGUUCUUGAUUGAGAUGGAUUUUAGAUUGGUGCAAUAUCGGCCAACAGCUUGCAGACCCUCAUUCCCAAUGCCUGAACAAGCUUCUAUUGUUAGAUCAGUCAAAUUUGGACAGUUCCUGGCAAUUGCAAGCAAACCCUUGUCAGAAAUUGCAGGGCACCCACAAAGAUCAAGCUUCUCCAGCAUGUGACAGCCAUUAGCAA